UAAAAUUUUGUAAUUAAAUAAUUUCUUAAUGAUUUAAUUAAAUUAAUUGGGGCAGUAAUGAAUAUUAAAUAAUAAAGGGGAUUUUGAUUUAGUUAUUUUUGAUAAUAUUGAUUAAAUAUGUGCCAGCAAUCGCGGUUAAACAUGGGAUAUGAAUAAGUAGAUUUAGUUGAGUAGUUAAUUUAUUUUUAUUUAAUUUAAUUUGAUGAUUUUUAGGUUAAAUUUAAAUUUUUGGUUUAUUUUAAUUUAGUAUAUAAUGAGGCUAUGAAAUCUAAAGUAUUUAGACUAGGAUUAGAUACCCUAUUAUUUUGGAUCUAAAAGUUUAAACUUGAGUAGUAUUAGAUAUGGUCUUGAAACUUAGAGAAUUUGGCGGUAUUUUAGUCUAGUUAGAGGAAUCUGUUCCAUUAUCGAUAAUCCACGUUGAACCUUACUCAAUAUAAUUUAGUAUGUAUACCGCCGUUUAUUGUGAAAAUCUUUUUAGAGUAAAUUUUCUUUAAAUUUUAAUUAAUAUUAUUUCAGGUCAAGGUGCAGUAUAUGAUUGAGUGGUGAUGGAUUACAUUGUUUAUAAAGUAAACGGAUUAAAACUUGAAAUUGUUUUAUGAAGAGGGAUUUAAUAGUAAUUUGUAUAAGAAUUAUUUUUGUGAUUUUAGCUCUAAAGUGUGUACACAUCGCCCGUCACUCUCGUUAUUAAGAUGAGAUAAGUCGUAACAAAGUAGGUGUACCGGAAGGUGUAGCUAGAUUGUC
rnacentral:ncRNA from 1 species